rnacentral:tRNA from 2 species
GGGCUAUUAGCUCAGGUGGUUAGGGCGCAACCCCUGAUAAGGGUGAGGUCCCUGGUUCGAGUCCAGGAUGGCCCA